AAUUAAAUCAUCCAGAAAACUUGGGGAUGUGCACACAGUGCUGAGGCAAACUUGGUAAUGAACAGCUCACUGAAGAUGGAGAGACAUUUUCAGAAUGGCAGCUCACUGCAAUUAAUACUAGAGUGAGAAGAUCAGUGUUUUCUUGAGGAUCGCUGUAGCAGAAAUGCAAAGUCACAGCCUGAAGCAAUUACUGAGCAGCUGGUGGGAAG